rfam:Schistosoma haematobium scaffold1868_2, whole genome shotgun sequence.
AGCUUUCUGAAUCCGUGCAGAGGUUUCAUCAGACUUCAACCCAUUAGCGCUGAUCGAACUUCCAAGAUAAGUGAAGUU